AUUGAACGAUGGCGGCAGGCCUAACACAUGCAAGUCGAGCGGAGCGGCGGACGGGUGAGUAAUGCCUAGGAAUCUGCCUGGUAGUGGGGGAUAACGUCCGGAAACGGGCGCUAAUACCGCAUACUAUCAGAUGAGCCUAGGUUGGAUUAGCUAGUUGGUGGGGUAAAGGCCUACCAAGGCGACGAUCCGUGACUGGUCUUCGAGGAUGAUCAGUCAAACUGGAACUGAGACACGGUCCAGAUUCUUACGGGAGGCAGCAGUGGGGAAUAGUGGACAAUGGGCGAAAGCUUGAUGCAGCCAUGCCGCGUGUGUGAAGAAGGUCUUCGGAUUGUAAAGCACUUUAAGUUGGGAGGCGUUACCAACAGAAUAAGCACCGGCUAACUUCGUGCCAGCAGCCGCGGUAAUAC
rnacentral:rRNA from 1 species